UAGGGAAUCUUCCGCAAUGGACGCAAGUCUGACGGAGCAACGCCGCGUGAGUGAAGAAGGAUUUCGGUUCGUAAAACUCUGUUGUUAGAGAAGAACAGCGCAUAGAGUAACUGUUAUGCGUGUGACGGUAUCUAACCAGAAAGCCACGGCUAACUACGUGCCAGCAGCCGCGGUAAUACGUAGGUGGCAAGCGUUGUCCGGAUUUAUUGGGCGUAAAGCGAGCGCAGGCGGUCAAUUAAGUCUGAUGUGAAAGCCCCCGGUUCAACCGGGGAGGGUCAUUGGAAACGGGUUGACUUGAGUGCAGAAGAGGAGAGUGGAAUUCCAUGUGUAGCGGUGAAAUGCGUAGAUAUAUGGAGGAACACCGGUGGCGAAAGCGGCUCUCUGGUCUGUAACUGACGCUGAGGCUCGAAAGCGUGGGGAGCGAACAGG
rnacentral:rRNA from 1 species